GCCUGGGUAAAUCGUGUAGCUUAACUAUACGACUUCCGGGUAGACUGCUAAACUUGAGACCGGGAGAGGCUAGAGGUACUCCUGGGGUAGAGGUGAAAUUCUGUAAUCCUAGGGGGACCACCAGUGGCGAAGGCGUCUAGCUAGAACGGGUCUGACGGUGAGGGACGAAGCCCUGGGGCACAAACCGGAUUAGAUACCCGGGUAGUCCAGGGUGUAAACGCUGCUUGCUUGAUGUUAGUUGGGCUCCGAGCCCAACUAGUGUCGGAGAGAAGUUGUUAAGCAAGCUGCCUGGGAAGUACGGUCGCAAGGCUGAAACUUAAAGGAAUUGGCGGGGGAGCACAGCAACGGGUGGAGCGUGCGGUUUAAUUGGAUUCAACGCCGGAAAACUCACCGGAGGCGACGGUUACAUGAAGGCCAGGCUGAUGACCUUGCCUGAUUUUCCGAGAGGUGGUGCAUGGCCGCCGUCAGUUCGUACCGUAAGGCGUUCUGUUAAGUCAGACAACGAACGAGACCCUCAUCUUUAAUUGCUACUGGUAAGUUCGCUUACUGGGCACAUUAGAGAAACCGCUGGCGAUAAGUCAGAGGAAGGCGAGGUCAACGGUAGGUCAGUAUGCCCCGAAUCUCCCGGGCUACACGCGCGCUACAAAGGGCAGGACAAUGGGCUUCAACACCGAGAGGUGAAGGCAAUCCCGAAACCUGCCCGUAGUUCGAAUUGAGGGCUGUAACUCGCCCUCAUGAAGCUGGAUUCCGUAGUAAUCGCGGAUCAACAUCCCGCGGUGAAUAUGCCCCUGCUCC
rnacentral:rRNA from 1 species